rnacentral:pre_miRNA from 1 species
AAUAAUCCCUGGAGAAGGGGAACAAGGGAGACAAAGGGCAAACAAAUUUGUGCUUGUCCAUUGUCCCCCUUGUUCCCCUUCUCCAGGUAUUAUUAUU